rnacentral:tRNA from 1 species
CUUAGCUCAGUUGGAUAGAGCAUCGGACUUCUAAUCCGGCGGCCGCAGGUUCGAGCCCUGCAGG